UACUGCACAGACAACAAAACAGAUAAACUAUUGGAUAAAUGAUGUCCGGCUUUUGUGUUUUAUAUUUGCUGUCAUUUUACUUUUUAUUUUAUUUAUGUGACUUUGACCUCUCUUCCUAGUUUGGGAUGAUUGCAAAUUCAUAUUCAAUACACACAGAGCCCUGUCUGAAUGGAAGUUUGGAACCACUUUCAAUUAUCUUUACAAGUGUCCUGUCAAUAAUGAAGAUGAGGACAUUAGUAACAUACGUAAUGUGAUACAGAAGGAAUUUUUGUCCCUUGUGGAUGCUGGUUUGGCUAUAAACUGCGCCUACCCUCUGAUGUUACAAGAAAAACGGAAAGUUGAUGUGAUCAUUUCAUUGGACUACAGCGAUGGGGAUAGUUUUAUGACAUUGAAUCAGGCUAAGGCUUAUGCUGAUGCAUACAAACUUCCUUUUCCCCAUGUGGACAAGAAAGGCCAAAAACCUCAGGACUGCAAUGUGUACAGUGAUGCCUCAGCUCCAACAGUGAUCCACAUGCCUCUGUUCAAUGACAGCAAUA